AAUUGUAGGCAAAGAGGUCCAUAAAAAAUCAAGAGAAGACUUCCAAUCCAAUGUACUCCUACUACCAAUCUUUUAGAACUAUUGUCAAAUGUGUUCUUGCAUCUUGCAAGAAGCAACAUUAAAUUGCUGCAAGAACAAUCAAAAUACCCCAAAUCUCCUUGCAUAAUUAGUGAUCUCGUAUGGAGUAAAGUUACCAUCGUCACCCAGUGGCGUUCGGCUGCGCCCGGUGCGACGACCGCGGGAAGGGCCGCCGGAGUUGGGGCGACGGCGAGAACUCCACGGGCGUCGGCGGCAGUACCAUCUCCCUGGUGAGGAUCUUGACAAUGUCAGUGUUGCCGAUUAAUAAUAAAGAACCCAUCUUGCAAAGCCGAAGACAUAAGCCGAAUACUACGUCGUCAUUGAAGGCAAGUUCGGGGGCUACUGAGGGAGUCCUGGAUUAUGGGGUCGUCGGGUGUCUGGGCUAUGCGAUAUGGGCCGGACUGAUGGGCCGUGAAGAUACAAGGUAGAAGGCCUUCCCUCAUGUCCGGAUGGGACUCUCGUUUGCGUGGAUGGCAAGCUUGGCGUCCGGAUAUGUAGUUUCCUUUCUCUAUAAACCGACUCUGUACAACCCUAGGUCCCUCCGGUGUCUAUAUAAACCGGAGGAUUUAGUCCGUAGAGGCUAUCACAAAUCAUACAGGCUAGAUAUCUAGAGUUUAGCCAUUACAAUCUCGAGGUAGAUCAACUCUUGUAACCCCUAUACUCAUCAAAGUCAAUCAAGCAGAAAGUAGGGUAUUACCUCCAUUAAGAGGCCCGAACCUGGGUAAACAUCGUGUCCCCCGUCUCCUGUUAUCUUCGAUCCUCAGACGCAUAGUUCGGGACCCCCUACCCGAGAUCGGCCAGUUUUGACACCGACACUCGAUGACGGAUCCUACGCGGAGGCAGUGAUGCAUCUGUGGUUGUGGCUGGCUCGGGGCCCCUCGCGGCAGGUCCUUGCUGGCGCUGCUCCGGCCCCGGCGGCUGUAGGCCCGCGUCUCUCCGGUGUCCUUUGCUGUUGGCGUCCUCCACCGGGCAGCUCCAGCCCCGACGACCAGGUAGUUGCGCCCCUUCCGGCUUCCCUGGCUCGCUGACGUCCCGGCGGUUACGGCCACGACAGCUCAGAUCUGCAUCUCUGUAGUCCUUGCUUGCCGGCGUUGCUGGACACCGUUGCGCCAAGACCCCCGUGUGGUUCGCCUCGUCGCCCGCCCUACCCUAUACGCCUCAAAGCCCCCUCUUUUACCAGAUCCAAGCCCAUGGUUCGAAGGCGGUGCCACCUCCGGCGGCGGGUGCAGCCCCGCCAACCCCUCUGACUUGGCAGUUCCUACCAGCUUUGGCCUUCCCACCUGCGAUCCCUGAUUCGACGGCUAUGGGAUUGCUCAGCUUCAGGCCAGGGAGAGAUCCCCGCUCGCGCCCGUGGGUGUCGUUUUUCCUCUUGGAGGCGCUGCCAAGGCCUUUAGCUGCGCCCCUCUUCGAGCUCAGGGGAACCCUAGGUCCGGGUCACCCGGACCGGAUAGUGACAGAGUCUCGGCGUUGUCUUCCUUCUUGAAGGCAGUAUCUUGCUCGCUCGUGGUGCCCUCGAUUUUGGGCUCGCAUGGUGUUGGAGUUCUCGUUGGUUUGGCAUCAUCGGUUUUGGCUCAGGUUUGGUAGGUUUAGUUGUGUUGUCCCCUCUGUUUGGGCCGAGCAUCCCUUGUCUCUCUGCUCCGGGCACCAUGUUCACACAUGUCUGUGUUCGUGUCAUGUGUUGUACCGCCUGUACUCAUUCUUGUCAUUUUAUCAAUGGAAUGAUACGCAAGCUUUGCAUACUCACAAAAAAAAUGAUUGAAUUAAUAAACGGAAAGAACCCGGUAUUUGUUCUUGAGCAAAUGUGUAUGACUAUGGAUAGAUGAAGGAAAUAAUUAGUUUUGGUUUUAUUUUUGAGUAACCCCGCAAAAAAUUGAGUAACAAAAAGGAAUAUUUUGCUUUUAAUUUUCAGUGGAAGAAGGGCGGAUGGGGUCAGAGUUGGUACCGAGAAGAAGAUUCUUUUGACUUCACACAACCUAGCUGUGAUGAUUUUUCAAGGUUCCGAGAAAAUUAAGCAUAAACUUUACCAAAAGGAAAGAUCAAAGAGGGAAACACCAAGCAACUAUGUCACCAAGAUAGCAACGAGAUGUGCCGGUCACUCCCGUCAAGUAGAAAAAAGAAGAUGUGUGCCGGCCAGUAUGAUCAUGCUGAAACUUCUCGCAUGCAUGAGAACACAGUUUUAAAACUGAAACUUCAAGUAUGAACUCUAAGAGCAAACUCCAAUGGGGCGACCCGUUUCGUCCGCCGCCGCCCGUUUGGGUUGGCGCGGCGGCCCAACACGCCGACGCAAACGGACGCGCGUCCGCUUUUCGUCUGCGGGUGACCCAUUCCCGGUCCAUUUUUGAGCCGGAUUUGCGUCGCCGCGGACAUGCGACACGCGCGCGCGCUCGCCUUCUCCUCUCCCCGAACCCGCUGGUCGGUCACACAUUAGCCUCCCCUCUCAUCCCCCAGCCAACAACAAUCCUCGCCCGCCUCCUUCGUCGCCGCCGCCGCCAUCCAUUUUUGUCGGCGACUCUGCCAGCUGCCGCCGCCUCCACAUCCGCCCAGCAACGCCGCCCACUCCUCCCGUCGCCCGCCACCGCCGUUUUGCCGCCGGGGAGCAAACUGCUUCCCACCGCCGCUCCCCCCACCGCACAGCCGCCCGCGACCAAGAAGCCACCUCCUUCUUCGACGCCCGCAACUUCCCUCGUCGGCCGUCUCCUUCUUCGACGCCCGCAAGCUGUUUGACAGUUUGUCAAGGUCCUUGCAUGCCGCGACUCCCCUCGUCGGCCAUCUCCUUCUUCGACGCCCGCAAGCUGUUCGACAGUUUGCCAAGGUACGAAAUGGAAUCCUCCGACGAGUUCUUUUUCCACAAUUUCCUUUGCGACUCUGACGAUUCGUUGUCCGACGACGAGGAGGAGAUAUUGGCUACCGUGUUGGUCCAUCACCACCUCAACAGCCAGCGGCCGUUGUUCCGUGGCUCCAUUUCGGGCCACCUUCCGGCGUUGAAUCGCAACCGAGAGAUUAGGCAUUUCCUUCUCUGGAAGGACUACUUUGAUACAACAAACCCGUUGUUCAAACAUCAAAAAUUCCGCCGCCGUUUCUGUAUGAGUAGACAUGUUUUCAAUCGUAUUAGAGAGGGAGUGGUUAGCUAUUAUGACUAUUUCGAGUGCAAAUAGGAUGCCGUCGUCAAGAUUGGUUUAUCCUCUUAUCAAAAAUGCACUGCCGUCAUUCGAAUGCUUGCAUACGGAGUGCCCGGUGAUCUCAUUGACGAGUACGUCCGUAUGAGCGAGUGUACAUGCCUAGAGUUCCUGUAUAAGUUCUGCAAGGCUGUUAUUGCUGUGUUUGGUCCCGAGUACUUGAGAGAGCCGACAGCUGAAGAUACAGCCCGUUUGUUGGCGAUGAAUGCCAGAAGGGGCUUCCCAGGGAUGCUUGGCAGCAUAGACUGCAUGCACUGGGAGUGGAAGAACUGUCCUUUUGCUUGGCAAGGGUAGUAUAAGGGCCAUCUCAGGGUUUGCACAGUCAUACUAGAUGCCGUGGCGUCUCAAGAUCUCUGGAUCUGGCACUCUUUCUUUAGCAUGGCUGGAUCACACAAUGAUAUCAACCGUGCUUCAGCGCUCGCCGUGUUUGCUAGGCUUGCCGAAGGCAACAGCCCACCGGUGAACUUUACUGUCAACGAUCACAACUACGACAAAGGAUACUACCUGGGUGACGGUAUCUAUCCUCAGUGGACCACUAUUGUCAAGACAAUACCCAACCCUGUCGGAGAGAAAAGAAAAAGAUUUGCCCAAGAGCAAGAGAGUGCUAGGAAGUAUGUCGAGCGUGCCUUUGGUUUUCUGCAAUCUCGAUGGGGCAUCGUUCGGUAUCCUGCUAAUACCUGGAGCACGCAGAAACUAUGGCAGGUGAUGACUGCUUGUGUGAUCAUGCACAAUAUGAUCGUAGAAAACGAGCACCUGGAACGUCUAUACAAUCAAGGCUUUCAGUUUCAGGGUGAAAAUGUUGUGCCUGAGCAUGGAGUAGCGGCAACGUUUGAACAGUUCACCCAAUUUCAUGAAGACAUGCCUGAUUGGGAAACUCACGUGCAACUGCAAAAUGAUUUGGUUGAGCAUACGUGGGCUAAUGUUGGCAACCAAUAGAUGUAUCUUCUUUUAUUCUUCUGCAAAACUAUGUGAAACAUUUUUAUUGUAUUCGGCUUGUAAAACCAUACUAUUUUAUUCGGUUUAUUUGACAAUAUGUUUGAAUGCAAAUCAUCAAUAUAAAAUUGGGCGGCCAGCCGGCCCAUAUGGGUCGGCGCGUUGGGCGCGCUGCCGACCCAUAUCAGAAACAGGGCGGACGCCGGGCGGACGGCCGACCCAAAGACAAAAAGCGGACGAAAUCGCCAUCCGUUUGGGUCGCCCCGUUGCUCUAAUUAAAUUGACAACACGAAGUCUGAACUGAGAAAAAAAAAGUAGGUCCAAAUCAAGAGAAACAAAUCCAAUCCAAUCUUCUUCUUUGAUCCAAUGUUUACAGCUGACUGCCUGUAUAGAAGUCAUUUUCUGCUCAAGAGACAUAGAGAGGAAUCAUGAUGCAGCACCGAUGAUGAUGAUGCCCACGUAUUGUUGGCUAAACACCUUGAUAAAAUAUCUAAUCGACUUGAUUGCUCGGCUGGUUUCUUUCUCCUUCUCCUAAGUGAUUGAUUGAUAGAGACCAGACUUCAAUUCAAACACUAAAGUAUUGUUAUUAUUGUUUGUUUUGUUGACAGAAAACAACUCCCCUUUGAUAGAGAUUAGGGAAAACUCUAACCAAGUCAGACACAGUGCAUUGGGAAAAUAAUUGAAGGCAAAGAGGUCCAUACUAAAUCAAGAGAAGACAUCCAAUCCAAUGUACUCCUACUACCAAUCUUUUAGAACUAUUGUCAAAUGUGUUAUUGCAUCUUGCAAGAAGCAAGAUCAAUUUUCUACAAAGAAUUAAGCCAGGAAUGAAUUGCCUCUAAUUAUGUGCAAGAACAAUCAAAACACCCCAAAUCUCCUUGCACAAUUAGUGAUCUCUUUGGGAGUGAAGUUACCAUCGUC
rnacentral:lncRNA from 1 species